rnacentral:rRNA from 1 species
AUUGAACGCUGGCGGAAUGCUUUACACAUGCAAGUCGAACGGCAGCACGGACUUCGGUCUGGUGGCGAGUGGCGAACGGGUGAGUAAUGUAUCGGAACGUGCCCAGUCGUGGGGGAUAACGUAGUGAAAAUUACGCUAAUCCCGCAUACGAUCUAUGGAUGAAAGCGGGGUAUCGCAAGACCUCGCGCGAUUGGAGCGGCCGAUAUCAGAUUAGGUAGUUGGUGGGGUAAAGGCCCACCAAGCCAACGAUCUGUAGCUGGUCUGAGAGGACGACCAGCCACACUGGAACUGAGACACGGUCCAGACUCCUACGGGAGGCAGCAGUGGGGAAUUUUGGACAAUGGGCGAAAGCCUGAUCCAGCCAUUCCGCGUGCAGGAUGAAGGCCCUCGGGUUGUAAACUGCUUUUGUACAGAACGAAAAGGUUUCUACUAAUACUAGGAGCUCAUGACGGUACUGUAAGAAUAAGCACCGGCUAACUACGUGCCAGCCGCCGCAGUAA